rnacentral:rRNA from 1 species
UGCAAGUCGAGCGGACAGAAGGGAGCUUGCUCCCGGAUGUUAGCGGCGGACGGGUGAGUAACACGUGGGUAACCUGCCUGUAAGACUGGGAUAACUCCGGGAAACCGGAGCUAAUACCGGAUAGUUCCUUGAACCGCAUGGUUCAAGGAUGAAAGACGGUUUCGGCUGUCACUUACAGAUGGACCCGCGGCGCAUUAGCUAGUUGGUGAGGUAACGGCUCACCAAGGCGACGAUGCGUAGCCGACCUGAGAGGGUGAUCGGCCACACUGGGACUGAGACACGGCCCAGACUCCUACGGGAGGCAGCAGUAGGGAAUCUUCCGCAAUGGACGAAAGUCUGACGGAGCAACGCCGCGUGAGUGAUGAAGGUUUUCGGAUCGUAAAGCUCUGUUGUUAGGGAAGAACAAGUGCAAGAGUAACUGCUUGCACCUUGACGGUACCUAACCAGAAAGCCACGGCUAACUACGUGCCAGCAGCCGCGGUAAUACGUAGGUGGCAAGCGUUGUCCGGAAUUAUUGGGCGUAAAGGGCUCGCAGGCGGUUUCUUAAGUCUGAUGUGAAAGCCCCCGGCUCAACCGGGGAGGGUCAUUGGAAACUGGGAAACUUGAGUGCAGAAGAGGAGAGUGGAAUUCCACGUGUAGCGGUGAAAUGCGUAGAGAUGUGGAGGAACACCAGUGGCGAAGGACUCUCUGGUCUGUAACUGACGCU